UUUCGUUUUUCUCUUAAGAAUGAAACCCCAGCAGAGCUUUUUUCCCUCCCAAAUCAGUGAGCUUCACCAACGCCACCGCUGCCGGAGUCGGCACCGGCGUUGCCGUUACUCUAAACAGAAGAUUUGUCUCCUUCUCUUCUCCGAUUCAUGUUCGCACUGCUUCUCUCUGUGAAUUUUCUUCCAAUCUCACGUUAAGGUUUGAGUUUUUUCCCAAAUCAGUGGAGGCUUCACCAAUGCCACCGCCAUUGGAGCUGCGCCGGCGCCAACGUUACCCUAAACAGAAGACUGGUCUCCUUCUCUUCUUAGAGUUCAUGUUCGCAUUGCUUCUCUCUGCGAAUUCUUUUCGAAUCUCUCAUUAAGUUGUAUAUAGCCUGUGUAUGGCUCAAUAUAAAGCCAAGAUUGCCCUCCAAGACAUGGUCCCUUUCAGUCUUGUCAUCUAUGAGUGCUCCAUUUCCUCCAUCAGGUGAUGGAGUUUAAUUAUCCUUCUUCUCUUCUCUAAGUAAUUGGCAAAGCACCUCUUCAUAUGGUACCUACUCUGCCUCAAUGCAUCCAGCAUGUUCUCCACUAUGGAAUUCGUGCGCUUCAACUUCGGUGCUGAAGAAGAAGCAGCAGCCAUUUCUGAGAAAGUUCUUGAUCACAAAACAAUAGCUCGUCUUCAGGCUGCAUGUUUCUUCAACACACGUUAUCUGACAAAUUGAUUUCACAUCUUUGAAACCAAAUUCAAUUGGCAGAUGCAAAGGAUGUAUUGGAAAAGAUGUGAAAGGUGUUAGUUUUCCUAUAUUAACUCCAAACCUCAAAGUAAGAUAUAUAUGCUUUAAAAAUUAUUAUUGCCAUCAUAGUAAAUUAUAUAAUCAGCCAUUUGACUGGUUUGAAUUCUGUUUAUUUUAUUUCUCAAAUAACAUGCUGAACUCUGCAGUUUGAAUUCUGUUUAUUAUUUUUGCUGAAUUCUGUGAUUUGAAUUCUGUUUAUUUUAUUUCUCAAAUAAAUUGUUGCUUCAACUUGGUGGGUGCUUUUCUCCAUAUAUAUGCAUGGUCGAUUGAUUGUUUUUCAGCAUACCAUUCAUGAUGGAGAUGUCCCGGUCUAUGAGUGACAUCAGACUAUCAGAUAUGGAAGUGGAUCCACCACCAAUCUUCAGUCAAAGGUCUGAUUUCCAAUUCUUGCUACAACACAUUGAAAGCGAUUCUCAGUAACCUAGCAAAACUUUAGUGUUCAUACACAGUUAUACUUUCUGAUUUCUAUUGAUUUGAUUUGAGUUUGGUGUGAGGAGUGUAAAUUGAGUGAAGAGAUGAGAGAUUGUAAUUAUUUUUUUGUAUCUAUUCCUUUUCAAUUGUUUUCUGAA